AUGACGGCCGGCUGCCGGCUUGCAGCCAGCAGGUCCCGCCCACUGGGUACAGCCUCCGAGCCUCCGAGUGGCUCGAGGGGUGCCACAGCCGGUCGGGCGUCGAAGCGGACAGAUAGCCGGGUCGGCUUGCCUGCUGACGCCUGGAUUGAGGGGUGCCACAGCCGGUCGGACCAGACCGGCCAGGCGUCGAAGCGGACAGAUAGCCGGGUCGGCUCGCCAGCCGACCAGGCAUCAGCAGGCGAUGACGCGGGCAAGCAAACUGAGCCGUCAUUUUUUUCUUUCUUCCUUUUUUCAUCCAGCAACUUUAUUUCCAUUUUUUUCACAUCCAGCUUGACCAACCGGGAUCUUUAUCUAGCCGACAUCUCUCUUUUUCUUUUCUUUGUUCUUUUCUUUGGGCGAGCCAGCCUUCUAACUUUUCUUUGGCCGGAUCCAACCCCACUACUUCUUUUCCUUCGAGCACCCGGCCAAAGCGAAGCCGGCCAGGGCAGGUUGGGCGGAGGCGGCUGGGCGGGCGCGGCAGGUGGGACACGGCCAAGCGCGGGGGAGCGCGGGCGCAUGGCGGCGAUGCGGACGGGACGCCGGAGGCGGAGCCGGCGCGAGGCGCGCGACCCGGCCGGCGCAGAUAGCCGGCGCACGGGGGCCGGGUCACGGGCGCAAGCCGGGGAGACGACGGGGUGCGGGGACCCGGCGUGGGGGGGCGCUGAGAUGGUGAGGCAGCCGCGAGGGAACCGACAGGCGCGGAGGAGCGGAGCUGGCCGGGUUGCGGGGGAACCCGGCGCGGGCGAAGCCGGCAGGCGCGGACGGGGCAGAGCCGGCGACCGACGCAGGAGGCCGGUGCAGCACCGCUACAGGGCAGACGGCGGAGGCGGCGAGCAGGCAGGAGCCGACCUAGGCCAGCGGGAGGCGGCGAUCCGGCCAGGCGGCGAGGCAGGUGAGGAGGCGGCCCCGGUGCUGGGGCAGCCCACAGGGCGUGGCGGAGCCGGCCGGAGGGAGUCGGCGAGCGGGCGGCCGGGUCGCGGAACCCCGGACGGGGCCGGCCAGGGGCGAGGCAGCAGAGGCCGGCCGGGACAGCGGGACGAGGCCGAACGCGGCCAGGCAGCGCCCGACUUGCAUCCAGGCAAAGUACAAGGAGAUUAUGGCCAUUAUCUGUAUUCGCGUAUGCGUAGUGUACAAGGGAUGUCUGGCCAUUGUCUGGAGCGAGUCUGA
rnacentral:rRNA from 1 species